UCAUUACAACCCAUACGAUUUUGAUUAUAACAACUAAUCAAAACCCUUCUCUUCUCCGAUUUCGCCCUUCCUUAAAUUGUUGUUAGAGCAUUUCAUUCAGAUUAAUUUUGAUUCGAAGUGCAAUUUUGGGAGGGGGAUAUCAGACAACUUCACUAGCCUCCAUUGUAUAUAUACCUAAAGGUCUGAAUGAUCUGAUGGAGUCCAAAGGUGGCAAGAAGAAGUCGUCUAGUAGUAAAUCCUUUUUGUACGAAACUCCCCUCGGCUACAUCAUUGAAGACGUUCGCCCACACGGUGGAAUCAAGAAAUUCAGAUCCGCUGCUUACUCCAACUGCAUCCGCAAGCCAUCCUGACUUUGGCUUUGUUGUGUGACAUAAACCCCGUCUUCAUUUUGUCUGCUCUUCGUUUU